CCUGGUGGCUCAGAAGGUAAAGCAUCUGCCUGCAAAGUGGGAGACCCGGGUUCAAUUCCUGGGUCAGGA
rnacentral:tRNA from 1 species